CCUACGGGAGGCAGCAGUGAGGAAUAUUGGUCAAUGGGCGCUAGCCUGAACCAGCCAAGUAGCGUGAAGGAUGACUGCCCUAUGGGUUGUAAACUUCUUUUAUAUGGGAAUAAAGUGCAGUAUGUGUACUGCUUUGCAUGUACCUUAUGAAUAAGGAUCGGCUAACUCCGUGCCAGCAGCCGCGGUAAUACGGAGGAUCCGAGCGUUAUCCGGAUUUAUUGGGUUUAAAGGGAGCGUAGGCGGGUUGUUAAGUCAGUUGUGAAAGUUUGCGGCUCAACCGUAAAAUUGCAGUUGAUACUGGCAGACUUGAGUACAGUAGAGGUAGGAGGAAUUCGUGGUGUAGCGGUGAAAUGCGUAGAUAUCACGAAGAACUCCGAUUGCGAAGGCAGCCUGCUGGACUGUAACUGACGCUGAUGCUCGAAAGUGUGGGGAUCAAACAGGAUUAGAUACCCUUGUAGUC
rnacentral:rRNA from 1 species